rnacentral:rRNA from 1 species
UGAGCCUACGGGACGCAGCAGUAGGGAAUUUUCGGCAAUGGGGGGAACCCUGACCGAGCAACGCCGCGUGAAGGAAGAAGGAAUUCGUUCUGUAAACUUCUUUUAAGAGGGAAGAGCAGAAGACGGUACCUCUUGAAUAAGCCACGGCUAACUACAUGCCAGCAGCCGCGGUAAUACGUAGGUGGCAAGCGUUGUCCGGAUUUACUGGGUGUAAAGGGCGUGCAACCGGGAAGACAAGUCAGAUGUGAAAUCCCGCGGCUCAACCGCGGAACUGCAUUUGAAACUGUUUUUCUUGAGUACCGGAG